rnacentral:lncRNA from 1 species
UAAAAACAAAUAUUUAAAUCAGAACUGGCUGAAAACAGAAGUAAUACUUCAACUACCAAAUUUGGCACCUUACAAUCAAACAUACACCACGUUUAUAGUCGAACAUACUUCACAUCAGGUUUACAACCACCAAGAACAAAACUAAAUAUCAAAAUAUAACUAUCUAUCAGAGUAUAACUAGCUCCAAUGAGCUAGAACUCAAUGCUUCUUCACUUCUUGGAGACCUGCUUGACGUCAGGGUGCUUCUCCUGAGUGUUUCUUCCAGCCACAUGCAUGCCUCAAGAUCUGCAAAUGCUGCCACGGAAUGCCAGCAAAAAGUGUAUCAGCCAGCUAUAAGAAAAAUGCAAUGCUUCAAAUUAGUUUCAAUCAAGAGCCAACUCGGAUCAUUAUGCAACAAUGUUAUUUUUAAUCUGGACAAGCAUUCCAUAUUUCGUAUAGUAAACUGAAUCAUGUAUGCUUGCUGGCAUAUAGGAAUUGGACUGCCGCAGAUCCUUGGUUGGCAUGUUUCACCAGCAAGAUGACGCAAUGAGAAACUCAAAAAUAAUGAUUUUGCAUGCUAUGUACAUCAAGUGAAAAGGAACAAGUUAUAUAGUAGCCUCAAGUAGAGCAAGUGUACAACAACUUGAUAAAAGAAUGCUCAGUCAUGGCAUUCGAUUUCACAAGAAAAGAAUGUGUAAGGUGCAAUGUUGAGUACACUUUGUAAUUCUAUAAUAAUUUGUAGUGCACUGUGGCUAGAAGCCAGAGCACACUUGAAGCUACAAACUAUGCAACAAGCCUGAAACUCAAACAACAGGAAGCAGAGUUGAGUUCCUAGCCAUCAGACAAGACUGAAACUCCCAGCAUUUGCCUCUCAAAUUUUUAUAUAGAGUAAAAAUUCCCAGCAGGGUAGAUAGGCAUAUGCUACUGUUUAGAAUUGCAUUAUAAAUUGUGAGAAGUCUUCGAAUACAGAGUCUUGUGCAAGUUAUUACAAUCAGUAUGAUGUUGUCAAGGUCGUCCAAGUACUUGCCCUUUUAGAUGCAUAUAUAGGUAUAUGUAGGAGAAUAACAUAGUACUAGUCGCACCUACUAGAUGUAUUUCAGAACGAGAGGUCAAAAUAGGUAAAAAUAAUGAUGCAAGCUAUGCUCUACAAUAGAAGCAUUCAGAGAGGUGAACGGAACACCAUCUUUUCCUUUGAGGAGCAAACAAGGAAUGACUGCAUUCACAAAGUAUAGAUGGAAAAACGCAACAUAUGCCAUGGAAAUGUUGAUCCAGUGACUUAAAUUUCAGAGUAGAUGGCAGGAAACUUGGCCUGCUUUCUAUAUGCAGUAUGUGCCAAACUAGCAUGUCACUAAUACACAGACUAGAUUGGAAACUGGGUCCUGAAUGAGUGAAUUUUACAUAUUCAGUUGCCGCACGCAACCAAUCAAGACCCUGCAACUGCAAGGUGUCAUUUGUUCAUCCUACCAAGAACAGAUGAAGCAUCUUUCCCUUUGAUUAGCAGACAAGGCACGACUGCAACUCAAGCCAUUGGAAUGCAAAUCCACUCCACUGGCAUCACAUCACAUACUACAAAUUUCAGAGGAAACAACCCAUGUGCAGUAGUACGUGCUACAGCAGCCUACAGCCUAGUGAGAGGAGCAGCUACAGCCACAUCUGAUGUAUACUCUGCUCUCAGGAAUCCAUCCGGGGAAAAUAAAAUUAAAGAACAAGAAGAUGGAUGGAGUGCGGCGGGUGGAGAAUCACCUUGAAGAUGGGCGGCUUGAGGGGCUCGGAGCAGAUCCUUCAGCAGAGAGCCGUCGAGGUCUUGAAGACUGUGGUGGGUCGCCAUGGCCUGUACUACCUGCAGCUUCAUCCCGUCGCUGGUUCAUCCCGUCGCUGUGGUGGAUCCUGCAGCAGAUCCUACAGCUUCAUCCCGUCGUUGGUUGUCGUUCCUCCUGUACUACCUGCAGAGACAGAGACG